rnacentral:rRNA from 1 species
UACGUAGGGGGCGAGCGUUGUCCGGAUUUAUUGGGCGUAAAGAGCGUGUAGGCGGCCAGGUAGGUCUGCUGUGAAAACUCGAGGCUCAACCUCGAGACGCGGCGGAAACCAUCAGGCUAGAGUCCGGAAGAGGAGAGUGGAAUUCCUGGUGUAGCGGUGAAUGCGCAGAUAUCAGGAAGAACACCCGUGGCUAAGGCGGGCUCUCGUACGUAACGGAUACUGACGGCUGAGAGACGAAAGCUGGGGGAGCGAACAGG